GGUCCCAUCGUCUAGUGGUUAGGACACCAGGUUUUCAUCCUGGGAACAGGGGUCCAAUUCCCCUUGGGACUACAA
rnacentral:tRNA from 1 species